AUGUUGAACUACUCUGGUUGUUGGAUUAGCUGUGUCAUACGGAUGGUGUCAAUGAAAUUGAUUUGCGUGUUCUUGGUGUCUCAGCUGGGUAGCUGUGUCAGCGCCCAGACCGUUGGCUGUAACACUGUACAUGCCAACGGUACAACGACCUAUCAACUCUCAGAGCCCCUGCCAGGAUCGCCCUCAACCUGUGUAACACAGUGGUUGGAUGCAAAUAGCACAAGAGAUCUUUUGGUGAUUGGUGUGUAUCAGGGAUAACAUUUGGGCUUGCCUUUGGGAUAUCAGCUGCUGUCGUCAUCAUCAUCCUGGUUCUCCUUAUUUUCUACAAGAUCCACAUUCACCGGUAAGCAUCCUCAUUAGAGGGGAUGUACUGGACCUGAAACUCGGUGUUGUAGUGUUCAUUCAGGAGAUGGUGAAAGUCUGAAGAUGUUUAAUUAAGAAGAUUGGAUGAUGUAUUCAAGGUUUUAUGUUCUAUUGAUGUGUUGAGAAGAGUUUUAUAUGUGUAUAUCUUCAAUAACUCAGUAUUUUGUAUUAUGUAUCUGAGUGGAGUAUUUCUGUCUUUUCUAGAGUGCGUGUUUCUUGGACGUUAGGUGAAGGGGAGCACGAAGAACCCUCUCCUGACCCAGAGAAGCCCCAGAGCCACCCUGCUCCCAAAGUCAAGUAUUCCGCUGUGAAGCAGAGAGAGAGAGCGAGAGAGUGUGACUGACAGACCAUUGCAAAUGAGAAAAGGUUCUCACCCAGCAAACCUGGUCACUUAAAGGGAUAGUUUGGGAGUCAGUAUACUUGUGAAUACCAUUUUAUGUUUCUACGUCCAGUAUAAAGGAAGUCCUAGGUAGUUUUGCGAGCCUUAUCUAACUAGUGUUAGCACAAUGACUAGAAGUCUAUGGGAACAGCAUGCUAGCUGUUCCCAUAGACUUCCAUUCACAGAAGAAUAAUAAGAAGCGUUACACUGGCUCUAGGGUAAGGUGUGCGUAGCUCUGCUAUUGCUGGGAUGGGUUUCUGUUUCAUAUAUUAUUUUCUCUCUACUUGUAGAGUUGUUAUUUAAGCAAUAAGGCCAGAGGGGGUGUGAUAUAUGGCAAAUAUACCAAGGUUAAGGGAUUUUCUUAUGCACGUUGCAACGCAGAGUACCUGGAUACAGCCCUUAGCCAUGGUAUAUUGGCCAUAUACCACAAACCCCCGAGGUUCGUUAUUGCUAUUAUAAACUAGUUAGAUCAGUAAAAAUACAUGUUUUGUCAUACCAAUGGUAUACUGUCUGAUAUACCACGGCUGUCAGCCAAUCAACAUUCAGGGCUUGAAAUAUUAGAUAUGAUUUAAAUAUUACAAUAAUAUAUUUCUAUAUGACACAUUCCAUUGAUAUGUGAUUGAAUAUACUGAAUAAUAGCUCAACUAUUACUGAAAUGAAAUGCUGUUCCAUAUAAUAAUAUUCUGAAUUAUAAAAUGGUGUGAUAUAUGGUUAUAGAGCCUACUUCUAUAUAUAUAUAUAUGUGUGUAACUGUGGAGGGAAGUAGGCCUCUAAAUGACCCCCUACACUAAAGAGAAUAAGCUAACCCACUGUGGAAGCUGGGAAACUCUUAUUACAGAUACACCAGGGAGUGUACAGUGAGGGGUUAUGCCCAGUUACACUGCAGAAUCUUCUCCCUGUCUUGUCCUUACCCACACACAUGCUCACACGCACACACACCAGUCUCUUAUGAAUUGAAUGUUUUUAGGUAUUUUUAAAUAAUUUUAAUGUGCUUGGACUAUGAGGUGGCUGUUGUUUUACAUUAUGAGAACGUGUUGAUCUCUUGCUGUGGAAGCUAAUGAGGGUCUUGGCUCAGAAGCUCUCACACACACACAGAAAUUCACAUCUCUGUCCACUCCCUUGCACAUUGAGUAGUGUACACAGACACCAUUCCCUUUCACUACAUUCCUUAGGUCUUUUCCUCUGGGUCACUCAUCGUACUUGGUAGUGUAAUGUUACAACAUGUAUAACUUCUCUCCUGGUGUAAUGUUACAACAUGUAUAACUUCUCUCCUGGUGUAAUGUUACAACAUGUAUAACUUCUCUCCUGGUGUAAUGUUAAAACAUGUAUAACUUCUCUCCUGGUGUAAUGUUACAACAUGUAUAACUUCUCUCCUGGUGUAAUGUUACAACAUGUAUAACUUCUCUCCUGGUGUAAUGUUACAACAUGUAUAACUUCUCUCCUGGUGUAAUGUUACAACAUGUAUAACUUCUCUCCUGGUGUAAUGUUACAACAUGUAUAACUUCUCUCCUGGUGUAAUGUUACAACAUGUAUAACUUCUCUCCUGGUGUAAUGUUACAACAUGUAUAACUUCUCUCCUGGUGUAAUGUUACAACAUGUAUAACUUCUCUCCUGGUGUAAUGUUACAACAUGUAUAACUUCUCUCCUGGUGUAAUGUUACAACAUGUAUAACUUCUCUCCUGGUGUAAUGUUACAACAUGUAUAACUUCUCUCCUGGUGUAAUGUUACAACAUGUAUAACUUCUCUCCUGGUGUAAUGUUACAACAGAUAUAACUUCUCUCUUGCCUUCCCCUCUGGCAUGCCCUUUCAAAUCCUCCAACUCCUAUCCCUUGGCAUUACCCCCUUUGCUAGCCCCUGACCCUUAAGGUUUGUAGAGGAUUUUCUAAGUUUAAGCAAUCUGGGCAAAAUGUAACCUAGCUUGUCAGGUGCCAUGUUACCAUGUUCACUUAAUGGAAAUGCUUAUUAUGAAGAGAAUAGACUAGUCGUUCAAUGUAUUUUAUAUAAAUAUAUCUUAAAAUACACUAUAUUAAGUAUAAUCAAUUGUAGCAGUAUCUAGGUAUAUACAGUUGAAGUCGGAAGUUUACAUACACCUUAGCCAAAUACAUUUAAACUCAGUUUUUCACAAUUCCUGACAUUUAAUCCUAGUAACAAUUCCCUGUUUUAGGUCAGUUAGGAUCACCACUUUAUUUUAAGAAUGUGAAAUGUCAGAAUAAUAGUAGAGAGAAUGAUUUAUUUCAGCUUUUAUUUCUUUCAUCACAUUCCCAGUGGGUCAGAAGUUUACAUACACUCAAUUGGUAUUUGGUAGCAUUGCCUUUAAAUUGUUUAACUUGGGUCAAACGUUUCGGUUAGCUUUAAC
rnacentral:lncRNA from 8 species